CAGAACGAACGCUGGCGGCAUGCCUAACACAUGCAAGUCGAACGAGACCUUCGGGUCUAGUGGCGCACGGGUGCGUAACGCGUGGGAAUCUGCCCUUGGGUUCGGAAUAACAGUUAGAAAUGACUGCUAAUACCGGAUGAUGUCUUCGGACCAAAGAUUUAUCGCCCAGGGAUGAGCCCGCGUAGGAUUAGCUAGUUGGUGGGGUAAAGGCCUACCAAGGCGACGAUCCUUAGCUGGUCUGAGAGGAUGAUCAGCCACACUGGGACUGAGACACGGCCCAGACUCCUACGGGAGGCAGCAGUGGGGAAUAUUGGACAAUGGGCGAAAGCCUGAUCCAGCAAUGCCGCGUGAGUGAUGAAGGCCUUAGGGUUGUAAAGCUCUUUUACCCGGGAUGAUAAUGACAGUACCGGGAGAAUAAGCCCCGGCUAACUUCGUG
rnacentral:rRNA from 1 species